UACGAAGGGGGGCUAGCGUUGCUCGGAAUUACUGGGCGUAAAGGGCGCGUAGGCGGGUCGCUAAGUUGGGGGGUGAAAGCCCAGGGCUCAACCCUGGAAUUGCCUUCAAUACUGGCGGCCUUGAGUAUGAGAGAGGUGUGUGGAACUCCGAGUGUAGAGGUGAAAUUCGUAGAUAUUCGCAAGAACACCAGUGGCGAAGGCGGCUCACUGGCCCGGUACUGACGCUGAGGUGCGAAAAGCGUGGGGGAGCAAACAGGG
rnacentral:rRNA from 1 species